rnacentral:rRNA from 1 species
AGUGAACGCUGGCGGUAGGCCUAACACAUGCAAGUCGAACGGCAGCACAGGAGAGCUUGCUCUCUGGGUGGCGAGUGGCGGACGGGUGAGGAAUGCAUCGGAAUCUACUUUUUCGUGGGGGAUAACGUAGGGAAACUUACGCUAAUACCGCAUACGACCUACGGGUGAAAGCAGGGGAUCUUCGGACCUUGCGCGAUUGCAUGAGCCGAUGUCGGAUUAGCGAGUUGGCGGGGUAAAGGCCCACCAAGGCGACGAUCCGUAGAUGGUCUGGUAGGAGUACCGGCCCCACUGGAACUGGGACACGGUCCAGCCUCCUACGGGAGGCAAAAUUGGGGAAUAUUGGACAAUGGGCGCAAGCCUGAUCCAUCCAUACCGCGUGGGUGAAGAAGGCCUUCGGGUUGUAAAGCCCUUUUGUUGGGAAAGAAAUCCAGCUGGUUAAUACCCGGUUGGGAUGACGGUACCCAAAGAAUAAGCACCGGCUAACUUCGUGCCAGCCGCCGCAGUAA